CACCAAGAUACAAUAAUGAGAGCCUGUGUAACCUCCUAGUAUGAAUUAUAAAGAAUUUCUGUGCCGGCGCCGUUACGUCUAGAUAUGUGUGACAGCUCCCAUAGGAAUACAUUGAAGUCGACAACCGGAAACCGGGCCGACCUCCGGUUUGUCGAGUUCUUCGCCGGCGUAAUAAAAUCUCGGACCGGCUAUAUGUGCAAACCUUCAUUUAUUUAUAUUGCAUCCGGUGCCGGAACCGGAUCCGGGAAAGCCGGUGUGUGUGCAAGCGCCCUUAGUGUUCUUCCUGAAUGGAAAAUGGCGUCCCCUGUUGACCAAAAAACACACAUAAUACAAUAAAGUGGAUGAUUCCAUAACCAAUUGAAAAAAAAAAAAAUGUUAAAUAUGAUUUAUGACCAGAU
rnacentral:lncRNA from 1 species